AUGUCGGUCUCAUUUUCUCUGUGCUGUCUGGGCUUAGUCAACGCACUUGUUUCUGGUCUUUUUUUUUUUUUUUUGAAUAUCAUUUUGUUGGAGCCCCUAGGAGGAGAACAACGGAGGCUUCCAUGGCGGAGAGGUCCGCACCUGACCCCGCCCGCUGCCGGCUCCGGAGGGAGCGGUGCUUCGUGGGCUCGCGUGACCAGAGACAGGACGAGCAGUACUUCGUGAAGCAGAGCUACCGGCGACGGAGCGAGCAGUGGCUCACGAGCUUGCUAAACCUGCGACGGAGAGAGCGGCGAUUCGCGAGCCUGGAAGGCAGGGUCGCCGAUCGGGAGUCGGUAUUUCGUGGGCUGCACAAAGAAAACGGCGACAGAUCGGCUGCCCUUUGAGCUUCUCUGCGGUUCACGCUCUGCAUCCUUGACAAGACUGACUGCGCUCUUCUGUGGCGCCAUCUCCUCGGUCACGGUGGCGCUCGCAACCCUGGAUGGUGUCGCCGACAGGCUCAUGGGGCUGCGCGUGGCCGCGGUGUAAGGGAUCGGCAGAAUGGGUAUCACCGUCAGUCUCCCGCAGCUUACCAUAGGUUGCCAGGGUGCUGACCAUGAACCGGGUUAGUUGGUUUUACCAUAUCACCGUCAUCUUAGUUCAACUCUGUUCAUAGUUCUGCAUUUCAUUUCUUUUUAGCAGUUUAUCUCACUUUGUUCCAGUGUCACAGAACAACAGUUUUGCAGUAUAUUGAAAUAUGCAGACUAUGGCUAGGAAUGGCAGCUGGUUAAUGUCUAACAGAUAUCCUACCCGCGAAAAACAGAUAUCCGUAAUGUAGUAUUUAUUUUCCAAAUCUCAGUGUUCUUUUUGUUGCGUGUUCUUCUGUCUUUCAAUCGUCGUUUUAAAUAACUCCCUGUCAUUGGAAGCCUACAAAUGAAUAACUCACUAAUCUCCAUUCCACUCUGGGAGAGCUCACGAAUCUCAGCGUUCUUCCAUGUUUCAUUAAAGUUUUCUAUUUGUUCUUCAGUUCUACUAUUCAUAGAAUUAUUCUGUUUUUCAUUAUUAAGUUUCCUAUUUAUUCUUCAGUUCUAUUAUUUAACUUGCCUACCCCAACUUGUUUGGGACUGAAAGGCUUGGUUAUUGGUUGUUGUUGUUUGCAUCUCCCUACCCACUUUAUUACUCCUCAACUGUAUCCACUUCAUUUUUGACGCAUUUUUUUUGGAAAGAGAUCAGCUUGGCAUUUUCAGAUUUUUUAUUAAUACAACAUUAUCUUACUUAGCGGCAAACCUUCAGCAACAACUUGGUCUGCAAUGGAAAUUACAGGAGCUCCCAAACCCGAAGCCACUACCAAACCUGUUGAAACAAGAGUUCAGGUGUACAUCCAGUGAUCCAGGUGUAUUUAGCUGGUCAAGAAGGCCGAGAUGCAGUCAUGGGUUUUAUGGUAUUUUCUUGUUAGCUGUUUUUGGGCUUGGCAUAUUUUGAGCCGUUAGGUUGCACGUUCGGACUUUAACGUGGGCUGAGGAAAUGGUUUGGGGCCUUCACGUGGGCUAAGGAAGUUAACUGUUGUCUGUUGAAAACUCAGCUGGAACUCAACGUGUACUGAAAACAAAAUGUGGCUGUUUACUGGGACUGAAAACAGACAGUUUUUGAGUAAACUGAAUCAUUUUUCA